rnacentral:rRNA from 1 species
GUUGACCUCGGAUCAGGUAGGGAUACCCGCUGAACUUAAGCAUAUCAAUAAGCGGAGGAAAAGAAACCAACAGGGAUUGCUCUAGUAACGGCGAGUGAAGCAGCAAUAGCUCAAAUUUGAAAUCUGGCGUCUUCGACGUCCGAGUUGUAAUUUGUAGAGGAUGCUUCUGAGUAACCACCGACCUAAGUUCCUUGGAACAGGACGUCAUAGAGGGU